rnacentral:rRNA from 1 species
CCUAGGGGAGGCUGCAGUGGGGAAUAUUGCACAAUGGGGGAAACCCUGAUGCAGCAACGCCGCGUGAGUGAAGAAGUAUUUCGGUAUGUAAAGCUCUAUCUGCAGGGAAGAAGAAAGACGGUACCUGACUAAGAAGCCCCGGCUAACUACGUGCCAGCAGCCGCGGUAAUACGUAGGGGGCAAGCGUUAUCCGGAUUUACUGGGUGUAAAGGGAGCGUAGACGGUUGGGCAAGUCUGAAGUGAAAGCCCGGGGCUGAACCGCGGAACUGCUUUGGAAACUGUAUGGCUUGAGUACUGGAGAGGCAGGCGGAAUUCCUAGUGUAGCGGUGAAAUGCGUAGAUAUUAGGAAGAACACCAGUGGCGAAGGCGGCCUGCUGGACAGAAACUGACGGUGAGGCUCGAAAGCGUGGGGAGCGAACAGGAUUAGAUACCCCAGUAGUC